CCGCCCAUAGCUCAGUUGGUAGAGCAGCGACCUUUUAAGUCGACGGUCCCAGGUUCGAUCCCUGGUGGGCGGA
rnacentral:tRNA from 1 species